rnacentral:rRNA from 1 species
GAUGAACGCCGGCGGCGUGCCUAAUACAUGCAAGUCGAGCGAACAGACAAGGAGCUUGCUCCUUUGACGUUAGCGGCGGACGGGUGAGUAACACGUGGGUAACCUACCUAUAAGACUGGGAUAACUUCGGGAAACCGGAGCUAAUACCGGAUAAUAUUUCGAACCGCAUGGUUCGAUAGUGAAAGAUGGUUUUGCUAUCACUUAUAGAUGGACCCGCGCCGUAUUAGCUAGUUGGUAAGGUAACGGCUUACCAAGGCGACGAUACGUAGCCGACCUAAGAGGGUAAUCGGCCACACUGGAACUGAGACACGGUCCAGACUCCUACGGGAGGCAGCAGUAGGAAAUCUUCCGCAAUGGGCGAAAGCCUGACGGAGCAACGCCGCGUGAGUGAUGAAGGUCUUCGGAUCGUAAAACUCUGUUAUUAGGGAAGAACAUACGUGUAAGUAACUAUGCACGUCUUGACGGUACCUAAUCAGAAAGCCACGGCUAACUACGUGCCAGCAGCCGCGGUAACAC